rnacentral:rRNA from 1 species
UGGGGAAUAUUGCGCAAUGGGGGAAACCCUGACGCAGCGACGCCGCGUGUGGGAUGAAGGUCUUCGGAUUGUAAACCACUGUCGCGAGGGACGAAGCUCUGACGGUACCUCGAAAGGAAGCACCGGCUAACUCUGUGCCAGCAGCCGCGGUAAUACAGAGGGUGCGAGCGUUGUCCGGAAUCACUGGGCGUAAAGGGCGCGUAGGCGGCCCGGUAAGUAGGGGGUGAAAUCUCAUGGCUCAACUGUGAGGCUGCCUUCUAGACUGCCAGGCUUGAGCACAGUAGAGGCGAGUGGAAUUCCCGGUGUAGCGGUGGAAUGCGUAGAGAUCGGGAAGAACAUCGGUGGCGAAGGCGGCUCGCUGGGCUGUUGCCGACGCUGAGGCGCGAAAGCGUGGGGAGCAAACAGGAUUAGAUACCCAGGUAGUCCCUGAGCGGGCUGGCAAGGCGCAU